GCAGCGAUCGCAAAGCAAUUCAUAAAAAGUGUUUUUUUUUUGUUGCGAAUAUUACGUAUUUUGCUACAUUUUAUUUGAAAAUAUGUCAAUAAUACGUGAGAUAGAGGAGUUAGUGAACCAUCAAAUUUAAAAUAACGGAACUAGUACUCAGGAUGUGUUGUUUCUGUGUUGCUUUUUCAAAUAACUCUAUGGCUCGAUGUGUGGCACCCGGAUGCGUGAGUGUUUAGCCAUUAUGAAAACAUAUCCCACAAAUGAUCAUUCCAUCGAUCCCCAAGGGAUGUGACUAUUCGGAAGAAAUGGCUCCGAUUCUUUGGACAGGACCUAAACAGCAAUACUAAACACAUGUACAUUUGCUCGCUUCACUUCAGUCCAGACUGUUUCAUUCAUAUCGAUGGCUUGGAAGUACAAUAUCGACCAAAUCUGAUACAAAGAGCUGUUCCUACUGUCAGAAAGGCCAACGCUUCUCAUGCCUCGGGAAAUCAAAACGGACGGCUCGUCGAAAGGUCUUGAUUGACAUUAAGCAAGAGUAAAAAAUGGGUGGGUUAUAACUAUGAUAUAACCGCAAGGUUGACGUGGGACUACCUUAGCUUAGCAAUCAUUUGUUUGUAUUGAUUUAAUUUUUGAUUGAAUGAAACAAUUUCCGAAUUCAAUUGAAUUCAAUAUAUUUACUUUGUGAG